GAAAAGACUUUUUUUUUCUCCACUGGGCUGUCUUGUUUCUAUGUGCAAUAGUUUCUCCUUUCCAUGUUUGCCCACUCAAAUAAAAAAGAAAAGAAAAAGUCCUCCUGUAUUUCCUGAAACUUGAAAAAAAUCUCAUUUUUUUCCCUUUACACGCAACCCUCAGUUCUAGUGAACUAUAAAAGAAUCUUCAAGCAGGUGUUUGUUUUCUUUAAAACAAGAAUGACAUUUUACUUUAGUCUUUCUGCUUCAGAAGUAAGCAUUUUAUUCAUUAGUUCAAAAUGAAACAUUUUUCAAAGGGCUUCUUUGCUGACUAGCUUUGAGCCAUUUGAAGUUUUAAAUGUCAUUUGAUGAAGUUGAGAAGUACGGAUACAGAAAUAACAAAGAUCAUUGUUAACUGGUGAAUACACAGCAUCCUUGUUUGCAGGAAGCUCCUUCAAUAAUCCUGAAAGAGCUAAAGGAAGUGUUACUAGAAAGUUCUCUCUAUAUUGCUCACGGUUUACUAACUUGAUCUAAAAAAUCGAAGGUGAAUAAAAUACUACAUUAGAACUUAAAGAACAGGGAAGAAAUUUGCAAGAGUUUAUCUAUGUGGCCUUUUCAUGGAUGAUAGUAUGCUGGUUUAAUGAAAAAAAAAUGUUGUACAUCAGUUACUGAUAAUAACUCUUAGAUUCUAAAUGAUUGUUAUUGAAUUAUUAAAAUUAGUGUGCAAAUACAGCCAUGAGACUAGAUACAAGCAUAAUGUCCGAUAUGCUUCAUAAACUAAUUCUGAGUGGCUCAUGGGGAAAGAUGACAACGAAAAACACGCACACACAAAUAAACAGGAUCACAGGAAAGCGUUAACUAGUAAAGAAGUGCUUCAGCCAUAAUUAAUAGCUUGGUCCUCAGAGUCAGAUAAUACUGGGUAGGAAUCUAAGCUUAUCCAGCUGGGUGACCUUGAACAAGUUUUUUUCUAGGCUCCCUGAUCCCUCCACCACGAAUGAAAAAGGCGUAAUAAAGAACAGCUCCCUCAAAGAAGAUGGUGGCUGCAAUGUCUCUCUCAAUGUACUCUAUGCAGUCACAGAAACAAAACUGCCCUACACUCCCCUUCCCACUGGCAAUUGUAUUGAACUAUAAACAGGGAAGCUGAAUUGAACCUCUACGAGGCUAGAAAAGCCAACUUACAUUUAAAACAAAUCCUAGAGAAUGCUGAGACAAUGCCUUCCAUGUUUGUCUCUAGCUAAUAAAGAAGUGAUCCAUUAAUCUAGGGCAGAAUGGAACCAAAUACUCAUAAUAACACGCAGUUAUUUUGGUUUUUAUGAUUGUUUUGCAGCAGAUGGACUGGAGUUGGGAGAAAAGGUCAAAGAAACAGAAAUGUUGUGGUUUUCUGUAGUUGUUGUUUGUCGUUUUGUUGUGUUUGGGGAUGGGUUGUUUUGUUGUUUUGUUUUGUUUCCUGUGAGUAACUCCCAUGACGACUUCCCGAGAAUGGCUCACACAGAGAAUUUUCUUUAUUAGUUCAGCCCAUGAAUAGCUGAGGGUUGGAGAGUCAGAAGUGCAGUAAGAUGAGUAAGGAGAGCCAGCACCAGAUUUCAGGAAAAGAGAAGAGGAGCCACUUCAAGCACAUCCCAAGAAACCUAAAGUUUUGUAGCUAACACCUGUUGCCUCAGCUUACUCCACCCCAAAUAAAUUUUCUAAAGGAAAACAAAGUUUUCUUCUUGUCUCAGCCCAUUCAAGUCACAAAUAUGAAAGGCUAUCUUAAAGGAACGUAGAACAGCUUAGUUUGGUUUGAGUCACAGCUUCUUAGAGUCACAAGUGGCCAAAGAGGGAUCCUGGGGGAAAAGGGAGUUUUAAUCAAGUCCACAUCUUCUUGCAGCAGUAUCACAAACCAGGUAUCUUCUACUG
rnacentral:lncRNA from 1 species